ACUGCUUUUAUACGGGAAGAAACACCUCUUCGUGAAGAGGCUUGACGGGACUGUAAGAAUAAGGAUCGGCUAACUCCGUGCCAGCAGCCGCGGUAAUACGGAGGAUCCAGGCGUUAUCCGGAAUCAUUGGGUUUAAAGGGUCCGUAGGCGGGAUAAUAAGUCAGCGGUGAAAGUCUGUGCCUCAACUAUAGAAUUGCCAUUGAUACUGUUGUUCUUGAGUGUUUAUGAGGUGGUUAAAAUAUGUUUUGUAGCGGUGAAAUGCUUAGAUAUUACAUGGAAUACCGAUUGCGAAGGCAGAUCACUAAUAAAAUACUGACGCUGAUGGACGAAAGCGUAGGUAGCGAACAGGAUUAGAUACCCUGGUAG
rnacentral:rRNA from 1 species